CUGGCAACAGCGUGGGCCACUGGGAGUCCUCUGACCACAGGGCUCUGCUCCCUCACUUUACCUGCCGGCCCAGGGACAUACACCUUCGGCACCCCGAGCCUCCAUGUGAGAAGUAUGGCUGCUCUGAAGCCAUUGUACCAGACAGAUGGACAGACCACAUACUGGAAACUAUAGCACUGGAGAAACAGAAAGGGACAUCUGAGGAGCCCAGUUGUUGAGUCUUCUCAGCCUAGGCACCAAGUCAUAUGGAAGAAGAAACUUUUGGGAUGACUCCUGUCCUGGCUAUUCUCUGAGUACAAAUGAAUGAGAGACCCCAAAAAAGAACCACCCAACUGAGCCUUAUCAUCUCCCAUAACUGUGAAAUAUCAUAAUAUUACAUUGCAGUCGCCCUUUACACCACUAAAUCUGGGCUGGUUUGUUACACAGCAGUCAGUAACAGUUACAGACCUCCUGAGUGUAGCUGAGAUGGAGAGCAAGCCAGAGGAGCUGUGGGGAAUGGCCGUCACCCAUGUGGGACCUCACUGUCACACUAUCUGCUGCCUUGCUGAAGGGCAGGUCACUCCCCAGGCCCUCACCAGGGAAGGCCAGCCUGGGAUUCUUCAAAUGUCCUCAAUGGUUUCGAAGCCUUGGCCUGCCCUGAUGUGA
rnacentral:lncRNA from 1 species